CAGAGGGGGCAAGCGUUGUUCGGAAUUACUGGGCGUAAAGGGCGCGUAGGCGGCCUUCUAAGUCGAACGUGAAAUCCCCGGGCUCAACCCGGGAACUGCGUCCGAUACUGGAAGGCUUGAAUCCGGGAGAGGGAUGCGGAAUUCCAGGUGUGGCGGUGAAAUGCGUAGAUAUCUGGAGGAACACCGGUGGCGAAGGCGGCAUCCUGGACCGGCAUUGACGCUGAGGCGCGAAAGCUAGGGGAGCAAACGGGAUUAGAUACCCCGGUAGUCCUAGCCCUAAACGAUGAAUGCUUGGUGUGGCGGGUAUCGAUCCCUGCCGUGCCGAAGCUAACGCAUUAAGCAUUCCGCCUGGGGAGUACGGUCGCAAGGCUG
rnacentral:rRNA from 1 species